GACGAACGCUGGCGGCGCGCCUAACACAUGCAAGUCGAACGGAGCUAUUUCGAUAGAUCCCUUCGGGUGACAUUGGCUUAGCUUAGUGGCGAACGGGUGAGUAACACGUGAGCAACCUGCCUGAUAGAGGGGAAUAACGUCUGGAAACGGACGCUAAUACCGCAUAAAGCAUGAGGGGCGCAUGUUUUUCAUGCCAAAGAUUUAUCGCUAACAGAUGGGCUCGCGUCCGAUUAGGUAGUUGGUGUGGUAACGGCACACCAAGCCGACGAUCGGUAGCCGGACUGAGAGGUUGAACGGCCACAUUGGAACUGAGAAACGGUCCAG
rnacentral:rRNA from 1 species